rnacentral:rRNA from 1 species
AAACUUGAGAGUUUGAUCCUGGCUCAGAACGAACGCUGGCGGCAGGCUUAACACAUGCAAGUCGAACGGUUGUAGCAAUACAGCAGUGGCAGACGGGUGAGUAACACGUGGGAACCUUCCUAGGGGUACGGAACAACUCAGGGAAACUUGAGCUAAUACCGUAUACGUCCGUGAGGAGAAAGAUUUAUCGCCCUUAGACGGGCCCGCGUAGGAUUAGGUAGUUGGUGGGGUAAUGGCCUACCAAGCCUACGAUCCUUAGCUGAUCUGAGAGGAUGAUCAGCCACACUGGGACUGAGACACGGCCCAGACUCCUACGGGAGGCAGCAGUGGGGAAUCUUGGACAAUGGGCGCAAGCCUGAUCCAGCCAUGCCGCGUGAGUGAAGAAGGCCUUCGGGUUGUAAAGCUCUUUUACCAGGGACGAUAAUGACGGUACCUGGAGAAUAAGCCCCGGCAAACUUCGUGCCAGCAGCCGCGGUAAUACGAAGGGGGCUAGCGUUGUUCGGAAUUACUGGGCGUAAAGGGAGCGUAGGCGGCUCUAUAAGUUGGAUGUGAAAGCCCCGAGCUUAACUUGGGAAUAGCACUCAAUACUGUAGAGCUAGAGAGUGAUAGAGGAUGAUGGAAUUCCUAGUGUAGAGGUGAAAUUCGUAGAUAUUAGGAGGAACACCAGUGGCGAAGGCGGUCAUCUGGGUCACUACUGACGCUAAGGCUCGAAAGCGUGGGGAGCAAACAGGAUUAGAGACCCUGGUAGUCCACGCCGUAAACGAUGAAUGCUAGACGUUGGGGGAGUUAUCCUUCGGUGUCGCAGCUAACGCAAUAAGCAUUCCGCCUGGGGAGUACGGUCGCAAGAUUAAAACUCAAAGGAAUUGACGGGGACCCGCACAAGCGGUGGAUUAUGUGGAUUAAUUCGAUGCAACGCGAAAAACCUUACCUACCCUUGACAUGCCAGGAACUUGCCAGAGAUGG